GACGAACGCUGGCGGCGUGCUUAACACAUGCAAGUCGAACGGAAAGGCCCUGCUUUUGUGGGGUGCUCGAGUGGCGAACGGGUGAGUAACACGUGAGUAACCUGCCCUUGACUUUGUGAUAACUUCAGGAAACUGGGUCUAAUACCGGAUAGGAGCUCCUGCUGCAUGGUGGGGGUUGGAAAGUUUCGGCGGUUGGGGCUGGACUGGCGGCUUAUCAGCUUGUUGGUGGGGUAGUGGCUUACCAAGGCUUUGACGGGUAGCCGGCCUGGGAGGUGGACCGGCGACAUGGGGACUGAGGGACGGCGCAGAAGGCUACGGGAGGCAGCAGUGGGGAAUCUUGCACAAUGGGCGGAAGCCUGAUGCAGCAACGCCGCGUGCGGGAUGACGGCUUUCGGGUUGUAAACCGCUUUCGCCUGUGACGAAGCGUGAGUGACGGUAAUGGGUAAAGAAGCACCGGCUAACUACGUG
rnacentral:rRNA from 1 species